GAAUAAACACUAAUUUGUUUGCGUGUGAAUAAGGCAUCAUUUAUGUAGCAACUUCUACAGAUUGGGUACUGGAGAUUUUUCCAAAACGAAUAAUGCUCCUGCUUUUGAGCUUACAAUGUAGUAGGAAAGAUAAACAGAGUGUGAUAAGUGACAUCAUAAAGGCACAAACAAAUUCCUGUGAGCACAAAGUGGAAAGCCCCUGAGCUGGAAAAUAGCACUGAGGUGGUUUCAUGAAAGAGGAAGCAGCAAGGCUGGGCCUUGAAGAACGUGAAGGAGUCACCCAGCUAGAGAGGGCAGGAGGGUGUUCCACGAAGUACAAACAUCAUGAACAGAAAGUCAAAGAGUGAAAGUGAAGGGAGGAUUGGGGAGCAGUGAACAGACAAUGUGAGAGAGCUGCGGCACCAUGGAGAAGAGUAAUGAGAGGGACAUCCUGAAGGAAAGACAAUAUGAAGGACUGUCGAUGCCAAAGAAAGGACUUUCAGCCAUAUGCACGCAAUGGGGAGCAAUGCAAGAUUGUCAACCAAGAGACUGAGGUGCUGCUACCACAAACAUGAGGAAACUUCUGUUAGGAGUUCAACCUUCAGAGAGGACAGCUGGCAGUGCAAGAUGGUGACAGCCCUGCAAUCAGGAGAAGAAAGUCAUGAGAGUAAGGAAUGAUGGAGAGGGAUGAGAGCGUUUUCUAGGAUUUGAAGAGUUAAGAGACUCUGAAUAAUUGGCAGGGGAAGCUGGGAUGGAGAACAAAGUAGGAGAAGAAUCAUUUGCUGUGAACUCUGUAUUUGGAUUCCAUUUUUGAUGAUCUUUGAAAAUGGGAAUAAAGGAUUUGGGUUAUUUUUAAAUUCCUUUGGAGGCUAGACAGUUUCCCUAAAUUCAGCAUUCCCUUUGAAACUAGACCGCAUGAGUCUCUGGUUUGUGCAGGGUUACCCUGGGUCAGAGUUGCCUCUAGAAUAAGCAAUGGGUAAGUCCUUGAGCUGUUGGAAGCGCAUGGAGUGCCUGACAGUCUUCUGCACAUUAGGCAUAGGGGACCCUUUUGGGGGAAGAGGAUGAAGAAUAGGAGGGGUGAUGGGAGCAUGUUGGGUUGUGCCAGUUUAAAGAGAACGUGAAAAAGAUAAGCAAGCAAAUGAGGCUGCAAAAGAGGAAUCAUGGGAGAAUGAGGAAAAUUAAGUGAUCAUAGCAUCCCUGAGGUCAAAAGAGCAGGGGUUUCAGGGAGAGUGCCAGGGCAUUAGUUAAUACAAAGAAGAGACCACUGGCUUUGCACCCUGGAGGUCAAUGCUAUCCUCUUCCUAAUCCAUUACUAUAGAGUGAUGGGGACCAGCGUUUGUGUAUUGAGGAGAUAAUGAGAAGUGUAAAUGGAAAACAACCAGAAGAUAACAAGGAUAAACAACUCUUUCAAAAAU
rnacentral:lncRNA from 1 species